UAGGUGCAUACCACCACCUACUGUAUCAGGAGCCCCAUAUAGUCUAUAUGUGCCCUCAUGCUGUGCACCCGAUACAGUAGGUGGCAACCCGCUAUUAAACAUUAGAUGAAUAAGAAGGUAAUGUGAAUGCGCGUAUUGCUCUGGGGAUAGUGUUGUAUUAAAGGUUAAAAAAAUUAUAAAUACUGUUCGGUUUCUCACACAAACCAAUUGUUUCAUGUCUUAGUAUAUUAAAGUGUUGUCAUGAGCCACAUGGUUUAAUUUGGAUUUGUUUGUGCAUGUUUUUUUAUUUCUAUCAGAUUUUGUUACCAUCAACUUGCAUUAUACAACUGACAGACUGAAACGGUUGGACACAAAAAUCUACAUUUGUGUUCCACUGGAGAAACAAAGUCACCUACAUCUUGGAUGGCCUGGGGACUACCUGACCUGUUCCUGUUAAGAGCUAGUCACUCUUUGUGGAAUGUUCCUGGCCCAUUUUUUUCCACGUUUUUACAAAAGUUUUUUCAAUGACCUCAAAAUUGAUGUGUAAAAAUAAUAAUAAACUUGAAUUUGUUUAAA